GGCUACCUGGCGCAAUGGUAGCGCGUUUGGCUUCGAUCGCCGACGGCUACGUCACAGAAUGUGACCAAAAGGUUGCAGGUUCGAGUCCUGCGGUGGUCA
rfam:Trametes versicolor FP-101664 SS1 unplaced genomic scaffold TRAVEscaffold_9, whole genome shotgun sequence.